CGGCGCGCUUACGCAUGCAAGUCGAGCGAUGAGGCUCCCUUCGGGGGGUACAUCAGCGGCAGACGGGUGAGUAACACGUAGGUAACCUGCCCUCAAGACGGGGAUAACGCCUGGAAACGGGCGCUAAUACCGGAUGACCUUAGUUGGGGAAGCACCGGCUAAGGAAAGGCUUUGGCGCUUGAGGAUGGGCCUGCGGCCCAUCAGUUAGUUGGUAGGGUAACGGCCUACCAAGGCGAAGACGGGUAGGGGGUGUGAGAGCACGGNCCCCCACACUGGGACUGAGACACGGCCCAGACUCCUACGGGAGGCAGCAGCGGGGAAUAUUGCGCAAUGGACGGAAGUCAGACGCAGCGACGCCGCGUGGGUGAAGAAGGCCUUCGGGUUGUAAAGCCCUUUUCUGUGGGAAGAGGAAGGACGGUACCAUAGGAAUAAGCGUCGGCUAACUACGUGCCAGCAGCCGCGGUAAGACGUAGGACGCGAGCGUUAUCCGGAUUUACUGGGCGUAAAGCGUGUGUAGGCGGCGUGACAAGUUGGGCGUGAAAGCCCCGUGCUCAACGCGGGGAGGCCGCACAAUACUGUCAGGCUAGAGGGCAUCAGAGGGGUGUGGAAUUCCCGGAGUAGCGGUAAAAUGCGCAGAUAUCGGGAGGAACACCGGUGGCGAAAGCGGCACCCUGGGGUGCACCUGACGCUGAGAGACGACAGCUAGGGGAGCGAACAGGAUUAGAGACCCUGGUUGUCCUAGCCGUAAACGAUGGAUUCUAGGUGUGGGAGUGAAGAACUUUUGUGCCGCACCGACCGCGAUAAGCAUCCCGCCUGGGGAGUACGGACGCAACGUUAAAACUC
rnacentral:rRNA from 1 species